rnacentral:tRNA from 1 species
AUACCCAUGGCCGAGUGGUUAGGUGCCAGACUGCAAAUCUGGUUACAACAGUUCGAAUCUGUUUGGGUAUU